AAGUCGUAACAAGGUUUCCGUAGGUGAACCUGCGGAAGGAUCAUUACACAUAUUACGGGGGGUCGGUCACCUAGAGCGUCGCCUCUCAGCAACCUCUGGGCCCUGCCCUGUCUGAAUAUUCUACCCAUGUCUUUUGCGCACUCUUCGUUUCCUCGGUGGGCUUGCCUGCCGAUAGGACACUAUAAAACCUUUUUGUAAUUGCAAUCAGCGUCAGAAAAACUUUUAAUAGUUACAACUUUCAACAACGGAUCUCUUGGUUCUG
rnacentral:misc_RNA from 1 species